UACAGAGGGGGGCAAGCGUUAUUCGGAAUUAUUGGGCGUAAAGGGCGCGUAGGCGGCUUUGCAAGUGACGGGUGAAAUCCCUCGGCUUAACCGAGGAACUGCCUGUCAGACUGCAUGGCUUGAGACCGGGAGAGGUGAGUGGAAUUCCCAGUGUAGCGGUGAAAUGCGUAGAUAUUGGGAGGAACACCAGUGGCGAAGGCGGCUCACUGGACCGGUACUGACGCUGAGGCGCGAAAGCGUGGGUAGCAAACAGG
rnacentral:rRNA from 1 species